rnacentral:rRNA from 1 species
GACGAACGCUGGCGGCGUGCCUAAUACAUGCAAGUUGAGCGCUGAAGGUUGGUACUUGUACCAACUGGAUGAGCAGCGAACGGGUGAGUAACGCCUGGGGAAUCUGCCUUUGAGCGGGGGACAACAUUUGGAAACGAAUGCUAAUACCGCAUAAAAACUUUAAACACAAGUUUUAAGUUUGAAAGAUGCAAUUGCAUCACUCAAAGAUGAUCCCGCGUUGUAUUAGCUAGUUGGUGAGGUAAAGGCUCACCAAGGCGAUGAUACAUAGCCGACCUGAGAGGGUGAUCGGCCACAUUGGGACUGAGACACGGCCCAAACUCCUACGGGAGGCAGCAGUAGGGAAUCUUCGGCAAUAGACGAAAGUCUGACCGAGCAACGCCGCGUGAGUGAAGAAGGUUUUCGGAUCGUAAAACUCUGUUGGUAGAGAAGAACGUUGGUGAGAGUGGAAAGCUCAUCAAGUGACGGUAACUACCCAGAAAGGGACGGCUAACUACGUG